ensembl:snRNA U6 U6 spliceosomal RNA
GUGCUUGCUCAGGCAGUACAUAUGAUAAAUUGGAAUCGAUACGGAGAAAAUUGGCAUGGCGCCUGCGAAAGGAUGACGCGCAAAUUUGUGAAGCGUUUCCACGUUUU